GACGGAGCUUCGCCGCGUCGACGUAAAACGGUCUUACUAGUCGUAAAAGCUCUGUUGAUGGGGACGAACGUGCGAGAGGUGAAUACAUUUCUUGCUAAUGACGGUACCAAUUCGAGAGAAGCCACGUGCUAACUACGUGCCAGCAGCCGCGGUAAUACGUUACGGUGGCGAGCGUUGAUCCGGAAUCAUUGGGCGUAAAGGGAGCGCAUGGCGGGCAUGUAGAUGUCUUAUCUUAAAAGUUCGGGGCUCAACCCCGUGAUGGGAAAGAAACUACAUGUAUUGAGUACAGGAGAGGAAAGCGGAAUUCCCAGUGUAGCGGUGAAAUGCGUAUAUAUAGGGAGGAACACCAGUGGCGAAGGCGGCUUUUCAUGGACUGCGACUGACGCCUGGGGCU
rnacentral:rRNA from 1 species